rnacentral:rRNA from 1 species
UACGAAGGGGGCUAGCGUUGUUCGGAAUUACUGGGCGUAAAGCGCGCGCAGGCGGUCUUCCAAGUCAGUGGUGAAAGCCUGGAGCUCAACUCCAGAACUGCCAUUGAAACUGUUAGACUUGAGUACGAGAGAGGUGAGUGGAAUUCCCAGUGUAGAGGUGAAAUUCGUAGAUAUUGGGAAGAACAUCAGUGGCGAAGGCGGCCUGCUGGGCUGUUGCUGACGCUGAGGCGCGACAGCGUGGGGAGCAAACAGG